UUUUAAAAAAAAAUUAAUACUUUAAAAAUACAAGUUUUUCCUACUCUUCCUGGAGGAAAGAAAAAGGAAAAUCUUAAUAUGAAGCAUGACUCAACAUGGUCCCACAAGGUUUCCCCAAAUCACCUCCCAAAUGGGAAGCCUGAACAAUCACCAUUUUCUUAAGGCCUCCAUAAGUCUUUUGAAGUCUUUUUAAUGUUGGCACAAAUAGACAGCUUCAGAAUUUAUAACGCUGGCUGAAGGACCCAAGAGACAUAGGCCCAAAAGCUUACAUGACAGCUUUUCAGGGUAACAAAAGGCUGUUCAAAUGAAAAACAAUACUCUGUGGAUUUCAUUGUGCCACUACCUAUUCUCAUACCCCAACAGAUGAAGCCCAGACACCUAUACCCAAAAGCCUGAGGAAUACCAUCAACCCCUAGACCACUGACUUUGCUUCCAAUCCAGCUCCUGAAGCCAUCAUUCAUGGAAGCCACUCCGCUGUUGCAAGUGCUGCCUCCUCAGCAGCCACAGCUACUGAAAACUGUGAAAAGAAAGUUCUUUCCAAAGUCUCUGGCAUUAUCAAAUGUUCAACUUCAGAAACAGACAUGGUUUCAUCAACAGCAAUGACAUUAAUUAAAAUUAUUAGCAUGUGCUUUGGUAUUCUACAGAGCCUUCCUAUGUAUCCUAAAGCUGAACCCUCCAAUAAAUGUUGACUCUUCCUGUUAGAAUAUAAGCUCCUUGAGGGCAACAGCUGUCUUACUUUUCUAUUUGUAUCCCCAGCACUUAGCACAGUGCUUUGUACAUAGUAAGUGAUUGACAAAUACUUUUCCCUUCAGGGGCCUAGCAGGGUUUGCAGCACUUGGCCAAAUUUCCCCAGGUUAAGGAAAUCUCGUAAGAUAGCAGCGUUCCUUUAAAAAAAAUCAAACCUUUGAUUCUAGAACCCUGAGAUUCUACCAUAAAUGGGACAUUGUUAUUCUCUACUGAAAAAGCCUAUGUACUCCAUGGUAUAGAAAAGCAACGUGAAGAACAGAAUAAUUUGUUCCAGAAUCUCACAAUUCUGAGAUGAGGGCCAGAAAGGUCAAGAGUAACUUGCUCAAGGUCACACAGGGAAGGGGCAACUGAAAUCAGCCCCAUAAUCAUGGGAUAAAGGAAAAGUGCCACAUCCCUACGCUUAUGGAACUGGAAAUAAACUGUAACCAGGCACAUGUGAAAAAGCUCAACAACUGGGUUCUCUUUUGGAAGCCAGCACAGAAUUUUCCAACACUAUCAACUCUUCUAAACUUGAUACUUCUCAAGCUGACCCUGCAGUCAUCAGGGCUCCCCAGGCGGAUCUGUUGUAAUAGGCGCUCCAGAGAUAAGAAGGCCACUGGCUCUCGGCUGCACGGGCAGGUCCGUGCUCCCUUCGCCUCCUCCCCCAUUUCGUAAGUAACUAACGCCCCGCCCCCCCCACGCACGUGGGUGACCACGGUGAGACGGAGCCACCUCACACCCAGACACUGCCACCCAAGGCCACAACGCAGCAGG